rnacentral:rRNA from 1 species
UCUGGCGGCAGUAGCGCGGUGGUCCCACCUGACCCCAUGCCGAACUCAGAAGUGAAACGCCGUAGCGCCGAUGGUAGUGUGGGGUCUCCCCAUGCGAGAGUAGGGAACUGCCAGGU